rnacentral:rRNA from 1 species
AGAUUGAACACUGGCGGCAUGCCUAACACAUGCAAGUCGAACGGGAGUAGCAAUACUCUAGUGGCGGACGGGUGAGGAAUACGUAGGAAUUUGCCCUUAAGUGGGGGAUAACCCGGGGAAACCCGGAUUAAUACCGCAUGACCUCGAAAGAGCAAAGUGGGGGAUCGCAAGACCUCACGCUUUUGGAGAAGCCUACGUCGGAUUAGCUAGUUGGUGAGGUAAUGGCUCACCAAGGCGACGAUCCGUAACUGGUCUGAGAGGAUGAUCAGUCACACCGGAACUGAGACACGGUCCGACUCCGUACGGGAGCAGCGAGGUGGGAAUAGUUAGGACAAGUGGGCGACAAGCCUGAUCCAGCAAUGCCGCGUGUGUAGAAGAAGGCCGUU